GCCAAGCUGGACUCCACACUAAAAAAGAUGGGAUUCGAGCAAAGCCCGCAUGAGGCGGCCGUCUACCGAUGGGGCAGUGGAGGAAAUGCCCUGCUGGUGGGCGUCUAUGUUGACGACUUGGUGAUCACCGGCACCAAAGAUGCAGAGGUGGCGGCGUUCAAGGAAGACAUGAAGGCCACCUUCCAGAUGAGUGAUCUGGGGCUCCUCUCCUUUUAUCUAGGGAUUGAGGUGCACCAGGAUCACUCCGGGAUCGCGCUUCGACAGUCCGCCUACGCCAAGCACAUCGUUGAGCUAGCUGGGCUCACCGAUUGCCACCCAGCUCUCACUCCAAUGGAAGAGAGGCUGAAACUGAGCCGCGAUAGCACGACGGAGGAAGUGGACGCUACGCAGUACCGACGCCUUGUGGGGAGCCUUCGCUACCUCGCCCACACACGGCCGGACUUGGCCUUCUCCGUCGGCUAUGUCAGUCGGUUCAUGGAGCGACCGAUGACGGAACACCAGCAGGCAGUGAAGAGGAUCGUCCACUACAUAGCAGGGACCCUUGACCACGGCCUCCACUACCCUAGGUGUCCGAGGGCGGCACACUUCGUCGGGUACAGCGACAGCGACCACGCCGGCGACAUCGACACCAGCAAGAGCACGAGCGGGAUCCUCUUCUUCCUCAGCAAGUGCCUCGUGAGCUGGCAAUCAGUCAAGCAGCAGGUGGUGGCCUUGUCCAGCUGUGAGGCUGAGUACAUAGCGGCCUCCACCGCCUGCACUCAGGCGCUCUGGCUCGCUCGG
rnacentral:rRNA from 1 species